AAAACCUGGAGAUAGGCUGAGCACUGUCAUGGCGGUUGGCAAGAACAAGCGCCUUACGAAAGGUGGCAAAAAGGGAGCCAAGAAGAAAGUGGUUGAUCCAUUUUCUAAGAAAGAUUGGUGUGAUGUGAAAGCACCUGCUAUGUUCAAUAUAAGAAAUAUUGGGAAAACACUAGUCACCAGGACGCAAGGAACCCAAAUUGCAUCUGAUGGCCUCAAAGGUCGCGUGUUGGAAGUGAGUCUUGCUGAUCUGCAGAAUGAUGAAGUUGCAUUUAGAAAAUUCAAGCUGAUUCCUGAAGAUGUUCAGGGCAAAAACUGCCUAACUUCCAUGGCAUGGAUCUUACCCGUGACAAAAUGUGUUCUAUGGUUAAAAAAUGGCAGACUGUGAUUGAAGCUCAUGUUGAUGUUACAACUACUGAUGGUUAUUUGCUUCGUCUGUUCUGUGUUGGUUUUACUAAAAAACGCAACAAUCAGAUACAGAAGACCUCUUAUGCCCAGCACCAGCAGGUUCGCCAAAUUCGGAAGAAAAUGAUGGAAAUCAUGACCAGAGAGGUGCAGACAAACGACUUGAAAGAAGUUGUCAAUAAAUUGAUUGCAGAUAGCAUUGGAAA